rnacentral:SRP_RNA from 1 species
GCCGGGCGCGGUGGCGCGCGCCUGUAGUCCCAGCUACUCGGGGGGCUGAGGUGGGAGGAUCGCUUGAGUCCAGGACUUCUGGGCUGCAGUGUGCUAUGCCGAUCGGGUGUCCGCACUAAGUUCGGCAUCAAUAUGGUGACCUCCCGGGAGUGGGGGACCACCAGGUUGCCUAAGGAGGGGUGAGCCGGCCCAGGUCGGAAACGGAGCAGGUCAAAACUCCCGUGCUGAUCAAACCCAUCGAGACAUAUGAGAGUAGUAAAGAUCUCUCAACUUGUGGAGGAUUUGAAAAUUACUAUUAU